GAUGCAACAGCACAGAGCUGGAGACAGACAGCAUGGCAAAGGGGUGUCGGGCCUCUUUCCUUCAAUGAGUGUUCACUGAGCACCUCACCCCCUGUGUGCCGGGCCCUGUUCCGACACCAGGGAUGCAGAUAGGAGUAGGACAGACAGCCUCCAGCCUCUUCCAGCUUCUCUCCUAGUAGGCGAAAAAGAGCAUGACUACAUGAACACCGUGAAGGAAAUUGAAGCCGGAAGCCAGGCCUGGUGGGGCCUCUUCACCUGGGAUCUGGUACCCAAGGAAAGUCCUGCUCUUGACCAUGCUGGGAGAAGACAAGGCCUUUCCAGCCACCAGCCAGAUCCCCUCUACCAAGGUCGUUGCAUUUCAGAGCUCACCAAACCCAACUAAGAUUUCUAAAACUGGAGAUCAGUCAUGGCUGUCCAAGUACAAACGCCUCAGGAAGAAGGGACAAGCCUCCUUUGCCACUCAAGCCAAAGGAAACACACCAAGCCAAAGGGAAUGAAGUUCUCAUCCUUGGUGACAGUCCCUGGGCCGCAAUCAAAUCAUCUGGCCUUAAGCUAACCUAGGCCAGAAAUGUGUCAGGCCUGCAGCUGUGAGGCACACCCAGGCACUGGAAAGCACACAGAAAACUGAGGCCCAGGAGGAAGUGUUUCUCCAGAGUCAGAGGUGAAACAGAAAAGCCAGGGCUUUUUCCCCUUCAGCUGCCUGUGACAUUCUGCUGUCAUAGGGACACAGGAACAAAAAAAGCUUGUUUGCAAACAAACAUCUGAAAGAAUAUAGUAACAGCUGAUCUGGGCUACAGCGUCAAAACAAAGUGAUGAUUGUGGAAGAAGACAAUGCAAACUACUCUGAAGCAAGAAACUUGAGGGCAGAGAACUUGCAGUAAUGUGUAUGCUGGGUAUUUCCACCAGCCCAGAGGCCCCAUCUGGAAAAGACUUAAACCAGGAGGGUCUCCACCACCUGAAUAGAAAGAAGUCACUGCCACAAACAGCACUGUGCAGUUUUAUUAACCAUUCAAGUACAGUAGCAUCUGGUAAAAUGGGGACAGAAUUGGGAUUUAAAAGUGAACAGAUAUUCAGCAUCUAAUAGUUUGAAAGAAGCCACUACAUACUCUUUUCACAAACAUAUUUUCACAGAGCCAAUACAGUACUAGCCAUUAACCCAGUACACCAAGUGUACUGAAGUAGAAAAGAUGCAACAAGAAAAAUAGCUACAUUAGAAAGACCUCAACACUUUAGAAAAAGAGUAAAACACUUUUAGUUUCUCCCCUUUAUCCCCUAAAACAACAUCAUACAGUCUGGAUCUACUUAUAUAGUCCUACAUCAGCUUCUAGAAUAUUUGUCAGGAGGGGAAAAAAAAAUGACACUGGCCAGUACAGUCUUUGGAUAUUUAGGAAGGGGAGGGGGAGAAAGUCAGUUCUCAGAACAAAUUAGUCAGCUUCUGUCUCAUCAGCAGGAUCUUUGGAUUCUUUGUUCUUCCGCACUUCUUCAAUGUGCUUGUCCUGUAAAGAAACAGUACCCGAGUAUAAUCAGUCAAAUAAAAAAACCUGCCAAAUGGUGGCCCCUGAGAAGCCCAGCAGUCUCAGUGCAUGUAUUAGGUCCUGUGGGAACCACCUACUUUGAGUACUGAGACAUCUUCAAACCUCCUGGGCCACUUGUAGAACCUCCUAAUGACUAAGCCUCCUAUUGCUCUUCCAAGGAACAUGCAAUGAUAUUGAAAAUUACUGAAUAUUCCAUCUUAUUUUACAACAAGAUACCUUCUAUUUACUGUAUCAAGCCUCAAAAUUGGUAGCAACAAAAAGAUGCCAAACACCUUUUAACAAGGCAUUAAUCCAAGCCACUUCACUGGUGCCUGAAACUUCAAGCUCCUAACCCUCCUACAAAGCUCAGAUGAGAAACCAACCUUUUCUCGCAAACGCUCCAGUUUGGCAGCCAUUUGUGCCUCUCGGUUCUCUUUGUUGGCUUCCAUUUUGUGAGUCAAUUUCUCUUCCGCCAUUUUACUGAAGUUGUUGUUCUCUUCUAUUGCUUUCUGAAGCACUUCUUUCUCAUGCUCUCGUUUCUCAGCAAGCUGCUUCAAGACCUCGGCUUCAUGGGACUGGAAAAAAGUUUAACAGGCUAGGCUCUCUGAAAUGUAUUCAACAUUAGUUACAAUUACAAUGGAAAAUUACUUAUUGGGGGAUGGAAAGAGGCAGAAAGUAAGGUCCCUUUAAAUAAAUCUUAAGUCAGGACUUGAAUUAUCCCUACCAUAAUUUUAUGAAUUUAAUGUGAAAAUCAUAUUCCUUUUCUAGUAUUUGUUUUUACUGUAUGUAUUCAGAGAUCUCUUGCCCAAUUAUUCCUUAAGGAAAUCCUUAUAAUAUUUACUGCUUAAUGGUUUUGGACAAUUAAGGGAUAUACACUUAGGAAUGGAGCUUUAUUAUAAAAAAUUUUGGUUAACUUCAAAGGCUACUGAAAGAAAACUAGCUCAUUUUAAAAAUUAACUGUAAUUGCUAAAAACAAAACAAAACGGUAUGUGAGUGAUGGAAAAUUUAAAACUAAGUCUCUAGAUUACUACUUAAAUAGAGAGAUUUCUUUUAAAGGAAGGGCCUAUUAGCUUUUCUCUGUGGAAGCUCCAUUAACUCCCAAACCAUUGGAGUUCUGUUCCACGGUGUGCCUUCCUCGACAGACUCAGAAUAGCUUGUUACCAAACAUUCAGAUAUGUUUGGACGCAUUGGCUUGCAGGAGAACUACGGAGCGUCUGCUACAACUGCUGCUGAUUCUGUUAAUUCUCAUCGGCAAAACCCCAGUCACGAUAAGCGUUUCACUAUAUUUAGCCAGUUAACUAUGUAAAGCACAGCCUAAUGACAACAGGGCCAGGGCUGAUUCCUAAGAAACUUCCCUCUCUUCAGCCUUUGGUUGCAUCUCUUCUUCCUACUCUAUGAACUCAAAAUAACACAGGAGUGCAGGCAGGAGACAAUGUGCCAGUGCAAACACUGCCCAUCUUCCUGGCAAAAGGGUUCAUUUGUUUUUAUUGUAUAGAGCUGAAAAAAAUUAUAAAAAGAGAAAGAAGGAAAGAAGAAAAGAAUGGAAAGAAGGGAGGGAGAGAGGAAAAGGAAGGAAGGAAGGAAAGAAAAUCCCCCCAAUAAAUCUAUUUUUUCACAAGGAAGCAUGAGCUUUGGUUUAAAACAAACUUGGGCUUAAAUUCUGGCUCCAAUACUUACUGGUUGUACGACUUCAGGAAAAUGACUUAACAUUCCCGAGACUGUUCUCUAAUCUCCAUACCUCAAACAACACUUACCUUGUAGGGGCACUGUGUUAAAGGAGAAAAAUAUAAGUAAAAGAGCUGGUACAUAAUAGGAGCUCACAAAAUGAUAGCUGGUAUUUUCUUCCAGCCAUCGGAAUAUGUAAUUUUCACAUAGUUAUAAUCAUGGUGUAGCUACACUGUUUUCCCUGUAAUGGAAAUAAAACUGAUUUGCUGCAUUAGUUAAUAAAC